rnacentral:misc_RNA from 1 species
GCCAAACUGGGAAAGCCCUAUAUUUGAACUAUCAUCAUGUCUACAGCUUAGUUGCUCUAUCAAUCUGUUAGAAUAUACUCAAAACUGAACUGCAAUUUUUUAUUUCAAAAAAAAAAUUACAAUAGUGACAAGUUUAGUUACCUUGCUCCCAUGUCCUCAACAUCCCAAAAUGAUAGUUUAAUUUUUAAGAAAAAUAAAGUAUUUAUUUUCUACUUCCACCAAAAAUAAUUUAUUUCCCACACAGGUAAUUAAAACUCAAACAUACCCACAUCAAAAAUUAAACUGAUUUGCAGAAUCACAAUAGUUAAAAAGCCUUAAUUUGCCCGAAAACACUUUCAAUCAAAAUUUCAAAGAGGAUCUACUACAAUCACAUUACAACAAUAUUAAAAGAAUAAUAAUAAUAUACAAGAGAUACAAAAGGCCACGCUAUAUAUCAAUAUCAACGAAUGCUAAGAACAAGCAACUCUUUCCUUCCAACAAAAUACAGCAAACCAAAACAAAGCAAGAAGCUUCAUAUGUAUCUCACGUUAAUACAUAUAAAAUAAAAAAAGGCAUAAAUCCAUGCCACAACACUCAAACUUCUCUCUUUUUUUUUUUUCCUUUUCCUUCAUUCUAAUCUCCUUUCACACUUCUUCUCCAAAACCAAACAGAGACAAACCACUGAAAUGAAAACACAUAUAAAAGCGCAGAUAUCAAACUCGGGAUUUGAGUCUCACCAUAGUUGAGGCUGGAUCUGCGAUGGG